CUGAAAUGUUAAAAUUUCAGUGGACUUGUUAAGUAAAACCGAGCAUGCCUGUCAAAUUUGAGCUCAAUCGGACAUUUGGAAGGGCCUGCGAAAGGUAUCUGAUCCGAGUUGCUAAACGGAUUAGUAGAAGGGCAUUAUGGUAAUUAUUCCAUUACUUAGUGGAUUUCCACUAAGCUGCCAGGGGCAUCUUUAUCCUCUUCACCCUCCUGUACGCAUGAGAGAGAGAGUGAAAGGAAGAGAAAAGGAAUAGAGAGAAGAAGAAGAAGAAAGUAACAUAUUUUGGUGCCGUUUGUCGAGCCGAUCGAUUCCCCGCGCGCGUUGGAUUUUUCCGGCGCUUCGAUUGCGAAGAUAGAAGUCCUAAUGUGAAAUUGACCGCGUACAAACCUAAUUGAGGGUAAAGGAAACGCGUUGGCGAAGUCGGUUCGGCAAUCCGUCGAGCCUACGCGAAGAUAUCGCCGAAAGAAGAUUUUUCGGCUACAAUUGGCACGAGCGCGGGUCGCGAAUCUCGGGAAAGCGCGGGAAGCGAAUUUCUCGCGUCCAGGUAUCAACUAAAGGUUAGCACGUGAGCGGCGCGGCGGCGCGAGGACAGGGCGUAGCUCCGUAGAUAGCGCCCUACCACCGAGACCAGAGAUAGCAGUACCUUGAAGUGGUCUAGCAUCAGAGUUUAGAGUGUAAAUUGAAAGAAUCAAAUUUGUAGUAAAUUGUAUAAGUUGUAAAUU